ensembl:lncRNA
CGCAGCUUGAGCGGCAUGGCUUUUGUUUUGCGAUGUAAAGGGAAAGUUAAAAAGGACUUGUGUCAUUUUUCAGAUCAGCUCUGAGGGAGCAGAGGACCCCGAGAAAAGCAGACUGAAGUCUCAGAAUGAAAAGCUAAAAGAUAACAUUGACUCAUUGCACGUCGAGCUGGAAGAAAUUCACAGAGUCCUGGAAUCCAAAGAGCAGAGACUGGAAAGCUGCCAUUGAAAAGAAGCUUAAGAAGCAGAAGCCAGCAGAACCUACAACCAUGGAGGUACCCUUCACCCGCAUGCAUAAACUGAUCUGAAUCUCAGCUUUAUUUUUCCUUCAGCUUGUUGUGGAUACAGAGUCUGUUCAAAAAAUAAAAGAACUUAGAAAGACUGAAGCAAUGCAGAAAAAGGAGAUUGACAGGUGUAAUACAAUUUGUGAAAGAGUACUUGUUCUUUCCACGGCCCUCUGUUGUUCUUAUUGUUUCUUAAUGUUAUCAGGCUCAGUAAGCAGUUGUGUAUGUCCAAUCAGGUGUGGGAAAUAAGUUUUUAAGACAGAUGUACACAGCAAAGUUAUGUUACUCUAAAUGUUGUAUGACUCCAUGAGUUUUUCUGCAUUGACUGUUUCUCUCUUAAGUUUCCAUGCCAUCAAGGUUGAGAUGUUCUUACGCCAAACGUUGUAUUCUGCACAACACUUCAGUCAGCUUUGUGCUCAGUAGCUUCUUUGAAAGUGCUACAGAUUAGUCCACUUUAAAUGAAUAUGCUCUUCCAUGAUAUUUACACCAAAACAUGUCUUUUUCUUCAUCAAAGCUGAACUUACCACACUGAAAGAGGACAGGAGCUUUAAUCAUGUAACCCUUAAUGAAAUCUGCACCUGUGGCCUGUCCCGCACACACACAGAGCACAUAUACAGUAGAGGUUAUCCCAGAAGAGACUUUAACAGGUGCACGACCAUUAAGCCCCUCAUCUCUGGCCUCAAUUGGUGAAGGCUGCUGAUGAAUAUGCAUAAGUUUUGUUUUUGUUUUGCGCUGCACCCCACACCCUAUUUACCAGGAGGACAAAUGCAACUCAGAUCACCUCGUUGAGGCCUGCCUGCGUUAGAUGUCAUUUAUUACACAAAUAAUGCACAUGAAAACAGAAGGUCUUGCUAGGAUCAUUUACCCAAUAUUUGCCAUUAUACAUAUUAUUUUGUAUAAUAUACACUUACAAUUAAAAGUUUGUAAAUUUUGUUUUACUGUUUAAAG